AUGUUGUAGCACUAACGUAUGGAUAACAAUGGCAAAAAAAAUAAUAUGUAACACGACAAAUUAAACAAACAUAAAUAUAUCUAUAGUUGGUGCUACGUAACUUUUCGGAGUACCUCGGCAGCUCUAAGUCUUCAGAGACGUAGGGGGUGGAUUCUUAAUAGAUUUUAAAUAUAAUACAAACUCAAUUGCUCGGGGGCGCCAUUGGAUAAAAAGAAAAUGAAAGACGAAGCAUACUUAAAACUUCAAAAAAAAUAACUUAGUAAAAGGUUAAUAAAAAUAUGUAGUUAUCAUAAGAUAAAACACAUUUACAUAAAUAUAAAUAUAACAUGACUUACCAUAGUGUUCUCAGUUGAAUAUCAUUUUGGACCAAGAGAAAAGGAUCAGGUAAUAUUAUCAAUCAAAACAUUAUUGCAAAGUGAAUCAAAUUUUAUUAAAAUUAAAGAUAAAAAAAAUAAAAAAGACAAAUGAUGGAUCUUUUGUAGAUGUACAAUAUUAAAGAUCCUGUUUACAAAAACGAUAAAAAAGUUUACAAACAAUACCUUGUUAUAUAGUCCUGUCCUUAUUCUUCACGUUGUGAAUGUCCAAAGCACUACUUUUCACUGAAUUUACAUAAAAAGUACAAAAAAAAGGUUGUUUCCAUGAAAAGUUUCAGCAAAACUAAAUAAAGUUCCAAAUGAUUCUGCUCUUAUUGACUUUUAAAUAACUUUUGAGGUAUUUAGGAUUAUCUUUAGCACUUAAUCCAUAACUGCUUACAAAAAGAAACUUAGGUAGUGUAGUAUACACUAAAAUAAACUGGCUCUUUGCCUAACAGCGGCAUUUGGCUUGUGACUAGGAAGUCACGAAA
rnacentral:lncRNA from 1 species